AACGAACGCUGGCGGCAUGCCUAACACAUGCAAGUCGAACGAGACCUUCGUGCUUUUUUGCGCUCGUCUUCUUAACGCCUGGUAACUUUCCCUUAUGUUCCCUAUCCCUCCCUUUAUGGUGUUCUAAUACCGCUUAUUCUCUUCUGUCCAAAGAUUUCUUGCGUUUGGUUGGGCCUGCGUUGGAUUAGUUUGUUGGUAGUGUAAAAGCCUACUAAGGCGACGAUCCAUAGCUGGUUUGAGAGGAUGAUCAUCCACACUGGGACUGAGACACGGACCAGACUCCUACGGGAGGCAGGAGUGGGGAAUAUUGGACAAUGGGCGAAAGCCUGAUCAAGCAAUGCGGGGUGAGUGAUGAAGGCCUUAGGGUUGUAAAGCUCUUUUACCCGGGAUGAUAAUGACAGUACCGGGAGAAUAAGCACCGGCUAACUCCGUG
rnacentral:rRNA from 1 species